rnacentral:snoRNA from 1 species
GCCAAAUGAUGCUUAUGUGAUACAGGAGCACAUCAGUGCAAGGACGACUUUUAUCUAUCACCCAUGACUGAUGGUU